rnacentral:rRNA from 1 species
ACGUACACUCCUACGGGAGGCAGCAGUGGGGAAUAUUGGACAAUGGGCGCAAGCCUGAUCCAGCCAUGCCGCGUGAGUGAUGAAGGCCCUAGGGUUGUAAAGCUCUUUCACCGGAGAAGAUAAUGACGGUAUCCGGAGAAGAAGCCCCGGCUAACUUCGUGCCAGCAGCCGCGGUAAUACGAAGGGGGCUAGCGUUGUUCGGAAUUACUGGGCGUAAAGCGCACGUAGGCGGAUCGAUCAGUCAGGGGUGAAAUCCCAGGGCUCAACCCUGGAACUGCCUUUGAUACUGUCGAUCUGGAGUAUGGAAGAGGUGAGUGGAAUUCCGAGUGUAGAGGUGAAAUUCGUAGAUAUUCGGAGGAACACCAGUGGCGAAGGCGGCUCACUGGUCCAUUACUGACGCUGAGGUGCGAAAGCGUGGGGAGCAAACAGGAUUAGAUACCCUUGUAGUCCCAUGAU